AUACCAUGAUGAAGACAUUGCAACAAUAACUCUUUGAAAAUUUCAUAAACAUCAAAUAAAGAUUCGUCCCUUUGUCAAAAUGAAGUGAUUUUUCUCCUCAUUUU